UACGUAGGGUGCGAGCGUUAAUCGGAAUUACUGGGCGUAAAGCGUGCGCAGGCGGUCUUGUAAGACAGUCGUGAAAUCCCUGGGCUUAACCUAGGAACUGCGAUUGUGACUGCAAGGCUAGAGUGUGUCAGAGGGGGGUGGAAUUCCACGUGUAGCAGUGAAAUGCGUAGAGAUGUGGAGGAACACCGAUGGCGAAGGCAGCCCCCUGGGAUAACACUGACGCUCAUGCACGAAAGCGUGGGGAGCAAACAGG
rnacentral:rRNA from 1 species